rnacentral:rRNA from 2 species
GGCGGCGUGCCUAAUACAUGCAAGUCGUGCGGACCUUUUAAAAGCUUGCUUUUAAAAGGUUAGCGGCGGACGGGUGAGUAACACGUGGGCAACCUGCCUGUAAGACUGGGAUAACGCCGGGAAACCGGGGCUAAUACCAGAUAGUUUUUUCCUCCGCAUGGAGGAAAAAGGAAAGGCGGCUUCGGCUGCCACUUACAGAUGGGCCCGCGGCGCAUUAGCUAGUUGGCGGGGUAACGGCCCACCAAGGCAACGAUGCGUAGCCGACCUGAGAGGGUGAUCGGCCACAUUGGGACUGAGACACGGCCCAAACUCCUACGGGAGGCAGCAGUAGGGAAUCUUCCGCAAUGGACGAAAGUCUGACGGAGCAACGCCGCGUGAGUGAAGAAGGCCUUCGGGUCGUAAAACUCUGUUGCCGGGGAAGAACAAGUGCCGUUCGAACAGGGCGGCGCCUUGACGGUACCCGGCCAGAAAGCCACGGCUAACUACGUGCCAGCAGCCGCGGUAAUACGUAGGUGGCAAGCGUUGUCCGGAAUUAUUGGGCGUAAAGCGCGCGCAGGCGGCUUCUUAAGUCUGAUGUGAAAUCUUGCGGCUCAACCGCAAGCGGUCAUUGGAAACUGGGAGGCUUGAGUGCAGAAGAGGAGAGUGGAAUUCCACGUGUAGCGGUGAAAUGCGUAGAGAUGUGGAGGAACACCAGUGGCGAAGGCGGCUCUCUGGUCUGUAACUGACGCUGAGGCGCGAAAGCGUGGGGAGCAAACAGGAUUAGAUACCCUGGUAGUCCACGCCGUAAACGAUGAGUGCUAAGUGUUAGAGGGUUUCCGCCCUUUAGUGCUGCAGCUAACGCAUUAAGCACUCCGCCUGGGGAGUACGGCCGCAAGGCUGAAACUCAAAGGAAUUGACGGGGGCCCGCACAAGCGGUGGAGCAUGUGGUUUAAUUCGAAGCAACGCGAAGAACCUUACCAGGUCUUGACAUCCUCUGACCUCCCUGGAGACAGGGCCUUCCCCUUCGGGGGACAGAGUGACAGGUGGUGCAUGGUUGUCGUCAGCUCGUGUCGUGAGAUGUUGGGUUAAGUCCCGCAACGAGCGCAACCCUUGACCUUAGUUGCCAGCAUUCAGUUGGGCACUCUAAGGUGACUGCCGGUGACAAACCGGAGGAAGGUGGGGAUGACGUCAAAUCAUCAUGCCCCUUAUGACCUGGGCUACACACGUGCUACAAUGGAUGGUACAAAGGGCUGCGAGACCGCGAGGUUAAGCCAAUCCCAGAAAACCAUUCCCAGUUCGGAUUGCAGGCUGCAACCCGCCUGCAUGAAGCCGGAAUCGCUAGUAAUCGCGGAUCAGCAUGCCGCGGUGAAU